rnacentral:rRNA from 1 species
AAUGAACGCUAGCGGCAGGCUUAAUACAUGCAAGUCGAGGGACAGCACAGGUAGCAAUACUGGGUGGUAACCGGCAAACGGGUGCGGAACACGUACACAACCUUCCUUUAAGUGGGGGAUAGCCCAGAGAAAUUUGGAUUAAUACCCCGUAAUAUAGUUGAAUGGCAUCAUUUGAUUAUUAUAGCUACGGCGCUUAAUGAUGGGUGUGCGGCUGAUUAGAUAGUUGGCGGGGUAACGGCCCACCAAGUCUACGAUCAGUAGCUGAUGUGAGAGCAUGAUCAGCCACACGGGCACUGAGACACGGGCCCGACUCCUACGUGAGGCAGCAGUAAGGAAUAUUGGUCAAUGGACGCAAGUCUGAACCAGCCAUGCCGCGUGAAGGAUUAAGGUCCUCUGGAUUGUAAACUUCUUUUAUUUGGGACGAAAAAGGGCCUUUCUAGGUCAACUGACGGUACCAGAUGAAUAAGCACCGGCUAACUCCGUGCCAGCCGCCGCAGUAACAC